rnacentral:rRNA from 1 species
CAGUAGCCGCGGUAACACAGAGGGUGCAAGCGUUAAUCGGAAUUACUGGGCGUAAAGCGCGCGUAGGUGGUUUGUUAAGUUGGAUGUGAAAUCCCCGGGCUCAACCUGGGAACUGCAUCCAAAACUGGCAAGCUAGAGUAUGGUAGAGGGUGGUGGAAUUUCCUGUGUAGCGGUGAAAUGCGUAGAUAUAGGAAGGAACACCAGUGGCGAAGGCGACCACCUGGACUGAUACUGACACUGAGGUGCGAAAGCGUGGGGAGCAAACAGGAUUAGAGACCCCCGUAGUCCCUGUAUCUUAUAC